GAGUUUGAUCGUGGCUCAGAUUGAACGCUGGCGGCAUGCCUUACACAUGCAAGUCGAACGGCAGCAUGAUCUAGCUUGCUAGAUUGAUGGCGAGUGGCGAACGGGUGAGUAAUACAUCGGAACGUGCCCUGUAGUGGGGGAUAACUAGUCGAAAGAUUAGCUAAUACCGCAUACGACCUGAGGGUGAAAGUGGGGGACCGCAAGGCCUCAUGCUAUAGGAGCGGCCGAUGUCUGAUUAGCUAGUUGGUGGGGUAAAGGCCCACCAAGGCGACGAUCAGUAGCUGGCCUGAGAGGACGAUCAGCCACACUGGGACUGAGACACGGCCCAGACUCCUACGGGAGGCAGCAGUGGGGAAUUUUGGACAAUGGGCGAAAGCCUGAUCCAGCAAUGCCGCGUGUGUGAAGAAGGCCUCGGUUGUAAG
rnacentral:rRNA from 1 species